rnacentral:lncRNA from 1 species
UUGAUAGGUUGCCUCUAUUUCAACCAUAUUUGAGUCAUUUGAUGCAUAGAUGAAACCAUGUUCUUUAUAUUAACUUACUAAUCCAUUUGCUUAUUGUUAUUACACUAACCACUAACCACUAACAUCUAACAUUUAUAUUAUUGCACUUUAUUUCCUUGUUAUUUAUUUGCUCACAAUUUAUUUUAUUGUUUAUUUUAUUUUAAUUACUUUAUAUUUAUGUCCAUUAUUAUCUAACCAUAUAUCAUUUAC